rnacentral:rRNA from 1 species
CCUACGGGUGGCAGCAGUAGGGAAUAUUGCACAAUGGGGGAAACCCUGAUGCAGCAACGCCGCGUGGGCGAUGGAGUACUUCGGUAUGUAAAGCUCUGUCAGUAGAGAAGAGAAUGACGGUACCUGACGAAGAAGCACCGGCUAACUACGUGCCAGCAGCCGCGGUAAUACGGAGGGGGCAAGCGUUACCCGGAUUUACUGGGUGGAAAGGGAGCGUAGGCGGGAGGACAAGCCGGAUGUGAAAGCCCGUGGCUCAACCCAUGGACUGCAUUGGGAACUGCCCCGCUCGAGUGAGGGAGGGGGAGGCGGGAUUUCUUGUGUAGCGGUGAAAUGCGGAGAUAUU